rnacentral:rRNA from 1 species
AUGAUUGACUUUGGAGGCAUAUCUUCUAAUAUUAAAGAUGUUAUUUGGAAAAUCAAGGUUCCACCCAAUAUUCAUGUCUUUCUCUGGCUAGCUUACUAUAAUAAAUGCUUAACCAGAGAUAACCUAGCUAAGAGGAGACCUGUGGAAGACCCUACUUGUGUGUUCUGCAGUGAGAAAGAAUCGAUUAAACACUUAUUUUUUGAAUAUGUGGUAGCUGUCCAGAUCUGGAAAAUAAUUUUUGAAGGGUUGUGUAUCACCUUACCUACAUCUUUCCUAUCCUUGUCUGUUUUAUGGAAACAAAGAAAGAAAACAGAGGCCGUUAAUCUGGUCACAUCUGCUACCUCGUGGGGCUUAUGGCUUUUGCGCAAUGAUUUUGUUUUUCAGGGACGAAAAUGGUGA